AAAAGUUUGUUGAGUGAUAUGUCGUCGGGAAGAAUGAGUAGUGUAGUGUGGUAGUGAAGAUGGACAAAACACUGAAAUGAGUGGAAGUGAGUGUGUUGGGAUGCAGUAAGUAUAAUAAGGGGAUGUAGUGUGCAUGAGUGAAUAAAACGGAUGAAAAAUUUGAAGUUGAUUUGAAUUGAGUGUGCUGGAGUACGUUAAAGGUGAUAGGGACAAGUAGUGUACUAUA